rnacentral:tRNA from 1 species
GGUAAAGUGGCCGAAGGCUAGGCGGUGGGUUGUAGCUCCAUUGAUAGAGGUUUAAUUCCUCUCUUUACCA